rnacentral:misc_RNA from 1 species
GAUGAAGAACGUAGCGAAAUGCGAUAAGUAAUGUGAAUUGCAGAAUUCAGUGAAUCAUCGAAUCUUUGAACGCACAUUGCGCCCGCCAGUAUUCUGGCGGGCAUGCCUGUUCGAGCGUCAUUACAACCCUCAGGCCCCCGGGCCUGGCGUUGGGGAUCGGCGGAGCCCCCCGUGGGCACACGCCGUCCCCCAAAUACAGUGGCGGUCCCGCCGCAGCUUCCAUCGCGUAGUAGCUAACACCUCGCAACUGGAGAGCGGCGCGGCCAAGCCGUAAAACACCCAACUUCUGAAUGUUGACCUCGAAUCAGGUAGGAAUACCCGCUGAACUUAAGCAUAUCAAUAAGCGGAGGA